GUGCCCAGACACGCACUCAAGAACUGUAAGGGUUUCAAAUAUAAGGUACAAGACCUAAUUGAUUCAAAGGCUAACUCGUUCACACCAAAUGGCCCAAACGUAUUGAACAACCUCAUACCUUCACGGGAAGGCACAUAAACCAUACACAAAAAUAUAUAUUUUACCUAAGUUGACUUUUGGUCAACUAUUGACUUUUUGGUCAACCAGUUCACCAAAGUCAACUGACUAUUUUUACCCAUCCUAAACCCUAGUUCCUAUUUCUAUUUUUCCUACAAGUCAUCUUUGAAUCUUCAAGAAUCCAUUUACUUUUAAUGUUUCCUUCACCAUGUUCCCAUUUUUUUCAAGUGCAAGCCACGAUGCAAGUUACUUUGAAGACUUUGUUCAAUCCUCAUGUGUGCAUACCCUACAAAAAAUUUUAAACCAUGCUAGAAUGUAACAUACAUACACAUUAGCAUUCACAUUCCUAAGCAAAUUCAAUAUCACAUUACCAUUCAAUAUUAUACCACUUAGCCAUACUAACUUGAUUCAAAAACUCACAUUCAUUCCAUUCAUUCCAUUCUUAACAUAACUUAACAUAGUAUGAUUUCAGUUCAUUGUAAAGCAUUUAGCAAGCAUCCCGUACUUACACUCACAUACCAAUAAUCAUAAAAAAAACAUAAUUUUAAUUCAAAGCUCACAUAAACUUCAAACCAGCAUAACAAGGUAAAACAACUCAUAGCAUUGCCAAGCCAUUUCAAGCAAACUAACUGCUCAAUUUUUCAAAACCAGCGGUUGCACAUUCGUUGCAUUCACCUAGCAGCCAUAACAUGAUUUCACUAUAAAAUUAAUCAAGCAUCAUUAUAAACAACAUAUAAUUUCAUUUACCAUCAUUCACAACAGGUCAUUAACAUUAUCUAACAUCAUGCAACAAGGCCACACAUACUAACAACAAUGCAUCUCAAAGUCAUUAAAUAACAUUCAUCCAAGAAUCAACAAAACGUCUAAUAACAGAAAACCUUUGGUAGAGCAAAUUCAAAGUUGACACCAAACAAGAAAUUCACUUAGCAGGAGAGCAACUCACUAGUAUCCUUCAUUCAACAUCCACUAACCGAAAUUAGCACAACAUACAUAGCUAACAUUUAACAACAAUAUUUGAUAGCAAAAAUCCAUAUUCAUACCUAAUUGUCUAACUGCACCAACAUUUCACCUAACACCUAACAGAAAAAUUGAAGCCACCUUCACUUCCCUAACUGCUCACAUUUAACAUCAAUCUCAACUAACAUUGACAUCCUAACUAACUAAUAGUUUAUAUAACUAACUUCUCAUACUAAACAAAAAUCGAAAUGCUCAAUCUAACUGUUAACCAAUUUAAUUCCAACUUGCGCAUAGACCUAACCAUUCACUUAACCAUUUUCUAACUGCUAACAAUCUAUAACAAAAAAUCCUAACUGCAUCAACAUUUCACUAACUGUCUAACAGAAUUUUUCAUCCAAACUAACCUAACACAAUUUCUUUCCUCUAACUAACUCUCACUAACAGAGUUAACAAACUCUUAACUAACUAUGCAUUAAUCAGAAUUAAAAGAGUGAAAACUACAAAACCUUCAUUCCCUAUAAAAUCUCACCAUCACCUUCAUUCCCUAUAAAAUCUCACCAUCACCUUCAUUCAUCAACUUUGGAAUCACUCAAUCUUUUCACACUCUCUCGAUCCUAAUCCUUUUUCAGAGCUCUCGAUUCCACUCACAUAACUCUCUCAAUCCACACUUUUCACUAUCAAUCACUCUUAAAUUUGACAAACGCAAUACAACAGAAUCUCAAUAGAAGGAGUAGAAGGAGAAGAACGAGAAGAACAUUAGAAUAAGCUUCAAACAAGAAGACUCAUCUAAAGCUCAUCGUCUUCGUCUUUUCCGGUGGCAUAAGCCUUCGAUUCCACCAUUUCGCUUUAAUUUAGUUACGAAAAUGUGAACUGAGGUAUAUGGAAUCAAGGCCCCAACAAAUUUGGCUUUAAUUCCAUGAGAUAGUGAUUUAAUUUCAAUUUUUGUGUCUGGGGUUCUUUGACAAUUUGAUUUGGUUAGGGCUUUAAGAUAGAAAUUCCGUGAAAUUGUUUGUGGUUUUGAAUAGGGGUGGCAAUAAAAUCCGUUAAAGAGAUAUCCUUCCGAUAGUUAAUUCAUUCAAUUCAUCCGGCAAAUAAAAAAAUAAUUAAUGAAUUUGAUCCAAUCCAUCCAUCAAACCAUAUGGAUGGAUUCA
rnacentral:lncRNA from 1 species